rnacentral:rRNA from 1 species
GUAAGAGGUAACGGCUCACCAAGGCAACGAUGCGUAGCCGACCUGAGAGGGUGAUCGGCCACACUGGGACUGAGACACGGCCCAGACUCCUACGGGRGGCAGCAGUAGGGAAUCUUCCGCAAUGGACAAAAGUCUGACGGAGCAACGCCGCGUGAGUGAUGAAGGUUUUCGGAUCGUAAAGCUCUGUUGUUAGGGAAGAACAAGUACCGUUCGAAUAGGGCGGUACCGUGACGGUACCUAACCAAAAAGCCACGGCAUAAUUACGUGCCAGCAGCCGCGGUAAUACGGUAGGUGGCA